GAUGAACGCUGGCGGCGUGCCUAAUACAUGCAAGUCGAGCGAACGGACGAGAAGCUUGCUUCUCUGAUGUUAGCGGCGGACGGGUGAGUAACACGUGGAUAACCUACCUAUAAGACUGGGAUAACUUCGGGACACCGGAGCUAAUACCGGAUAAUAUUUUGAACCGCAUGGUUCAAAAGUGAAAGACGGUCUUGCUGUCACUUAUAGAUGGAUCCGCGCUGCAUUAGCUAGUUGGUAAGGUAACGGGUUACCAAGGCAACGAUGCAUAGCCGACCUGAGAGGGUGAUCGGCCACACUGGAACUGAGACACGGUCCAGACUCCUACGGGAGGCAGCAGUAGGGAAUCUUCCGCCAUGGGCGAAAGCCUGACGGAGCAACGCCGCGUGAGUGAUGAAGGUCUUCGGAUCGUAAAACUCUGUUAUUAGGGAAGAACAUAUGUGUAAGUAACUGUGCACAUCUUGACGGUACCUAAUCAGAAAGCCACGGCUAACUACGUG
rnacentral:rRNA from 1 species